rnacentral:piRNA from 1 species
UGAAAAGAGUUUAGAGUUUAUUUUGCU